AGCACUCAAGCUCCUGAAGGAAGCACUAAACAUGGAAAGGAACAACCGGUACCAGCCACUGCAAAAACUCUCACUCUUCUAAUAGUCACACCUUCUUGGUUGCUGUAGUUAAAUAAUAAGUGCUGAAAUUGCUGCACUUAUUGACUGGUUUCUUCCACUUUAUUCUUUUUCAAAAACAUGCUUUAGCUAUUCCAAGUCCUCUGCCUUUCUAUGUAAAUUUUAGAAUAAUCUUGUCUAUAUCUACAAAAAAUUUUGCAGGCAUGUGUAUAAGAAUCACAUGAAAUCUAUUUAUCUGUUUGAGGGAAUUGGCACUAGAGGAGAGUCACUAUGUUGACUUCCAAUGCAUGAACACUUAUUUUGGCCUCCUCUGAUACAGCUCCAGUGGAAGUGUUACGGACCUCCUUCUGGCCUGGCUAGGCUGAAAAUCUCUUUGCUGGGGCAGGCGGCAUUGGGGGCCAUAGAUUAUACAUUAUUUUGUGUUGUAUUUGGCUGGAGUAGAGUGGUUACCAUAUAAAAGUGUUCUGUCUUGCUGGGCUGCCCCUUUCCUGGUCCUUUGGCUAGAGAGAGAGCGGACUUUUCUUGCCUGCAUCCAGUAACAUUUCUAGGUUGCUGGAUUCUCUAUUAUCCAAUCUAGAACAUAUGAAGCAAAAGAAAAAGAAAAGAAGGAAGGAAGGAGGAAGGAAGGAAGAAAGAAGGAAAGGAAGAAGGGAGGGAGGAAGGAAGGAAGGAAAGAAAAAAGGAAGGAAGGAAAGGAUGGAGGGAGGGGAGGAGGAGGGAGGGGAGAAGGGACGGAAUGAGGGAAGGAAGGAAAGAAGGAAGGAAGGAGAGGAGGGAGGACCCAGUGAACUUACCUCCAAGUCGUUCCUCAGGUCCCAAUGUCCUUAGCUGGUCUGCUGUCUUUUCUCCACCUUUCAGAGUCUUCUUAAGUUGAUUAAAAUACCCAGGUUAUUUAUUUGCACUUAGUAGGAGCAUGAGGGAAAAGUACAUCUACCUCAUCUUCCUGUGUAGUUAAAUUUUAUUGUUUAAAUGGGAUGUAUAUGAUUUAGCUCAAAGACAGAGACUGAAAUAAAACUUGCUUAAGAUAGGCAAAGAUGUACAGAAAGAACUGCAAAUAAUUUAUCCAAAUUAACAGGCAAUCAUAAUGCAUAUUAAAAUCUAUGAUAACUUUCUCUGGUCUGAGUCACUUUUCUCCUUGAAUGUGCUUGAUGUUUCCUACUCUAAUGAAUUUGACAACUGUAAAUCCCUAACUGGAUAUGAUAUACACUGUUGAAAAAUCACACAAUGAAAACCUGAUC
rnacentral:lncRNA from 1 species